GAUGAAGAACGUAGCGAAAUGCGAUAAGUAAUGUGAAUUGCAGAAUUCAGUGAAUCAUCGAAUCUUUGAACGCACAUUGCGCCCGCCAGUAUUCUGGCGGGCAUGCCUGUUCGAGCGUCAUUUCAACCAUCAAGCCCCAGGCUUGUGUUGGGGACCUGCGGCUGCCGCAGGCCCUGAAAACCAGUGGCGGGCUCGCUGUCACACCGGGCGUAGUAGAUUUUAUCUCGCUCAGGGCGUGCUGCGGGUUCCGGCCGUUAAAAAGCCUUUUUUACCCAAGGUUGACCUCGGAUCAGGUAGGAAGACCCGCUGAACUUAAGCAUAUCAAUAGGCAGAGGA
rnacentral:misc_RNA from 1 species